UACGUAGGGGUCAAGCGUUGUCCGGAAUCAUUGGGCGUAAAGAGCGUGUAGGCGGCCUGGUAAGUCCGCUGUGAAAGUCCAGGGCUCAACCCUGGAAUGCCGGUGGAAACUGUCAGGCUCGAGUCCGGAAGAGGCGAGUGGAAUUCCUGGUGUAGCGGUGAAAUGCGCAGAUAUCAGGAGGAACACCAAUGGCGAAGGCAGCUCGCUGGGAAGGUACUGACGCUGAGGCGCGAAAGCGUGGGGAGCAAACAGG
rnacentral:rRNA from 1 species